rnacentral:tRNA from 1 species
GCGGAAGUGGUGGAAUUGGUAGACGCGCUGGGUUCAGGGUCCAGUGACCGUACGGUCAUGGGGGUUCAAGUCCCCCCUUCCGCA